AGAGUUUGAUCCUGGCUCAGGACGAACGCUGGCGGCGUGCCUAAUACAUGCAAGUAGAACGCUGAAGAGAGGAGCUUGCUCUUCUUGGAUGAGUUGCGAACGGGUGAGUAACGCGUAGGUAACCUGCCUUGUAGCGGGGGAUAACUAUUGGAAACGAUAGCUAAUACCGCAUAACAAUGGAUGACACAUGUCAUUUAUUUGAAAGGGGCAAUUGCUCCACUACAAGAUGGACCUGCGUUGUAUUAGCUAGUAGGUGAGGUAAUGGCUCACCUAGGCGACGAUACAUAGCCGACCUGAGAGGGUGAUCGGCCACACUGGGACUGAGACACGGCCCAGACUCCUACGGGAGGCAGCAGUAGGGAAUCUUCGGCAAUGGGGGCAACCCUGACCGAGCAACGCCGCGUGAGUGAAGAAGGUUUUCGGAUCGUAAAGCUCUGUUGUAAGUCAAGAACUGGUGUGAGAGUGGAAAGUUCACACUGUGACGGUAGCUUACCAGAAAGGGACGGCUAACUACGUGCCAGCAGCCGCGGUAAUACGUAGGUCCCGAGCGUUGUCCGGAUUUAUUGGGCGUAAAGCGAGCGCAGGCGGUUUGAUAAGUCUGAAGUUAAAGGCUGUGGCUCAACCAUAGUUCGCUUUGGAAACUGUCAAACUUGAGUGCAGAAGGGGAGAGUGGAAUUCCAUGUGUAGCGGUGAAAUGCGUAGAUAUAUGGAGGAACACCGGUGGCGAAAGCGGCUCUCUGGUCUGUAACUGACGCUGAGGCUCGAAAGCGUGGGGAGCGAACAGGAUUAGAUACCCUGGUAGUCCACGCCGUAAACGAUGAGUGCUAGGUGUUGGAUCCUUUCCGGGAUUCAGUGCCGCAGCUAACGCAUUAAGCACUCCGCCUGGGGAGUACGACCGCAAGGUUGAAACUCAAAGGAAUUGACGGGGGCCCGCACAAGCGGUGGAGCAUGUGGUUUAAUUCGAAGCAACGCGAAGAACCUUACCAGGUCUUGACAUCCCGAUGCUAUUUCUAGAGAUAGAAAGUUACUUCGGUACAUCGGUGACAGGUGGUGCAUGGUUGUCGUCAGCUCGUGUCGUGAGAUGUUGGGUUAAGUCCCGCAACGAGCGCAACCCCUAUUGUUAGUUGCCAUCAUUCAGUUGGGCACUCUAGCGAGACUGCCGGUAAUAAACCGGAGGAAGGUGGGGAUGACGUCAAAUCAUCAUGCCCCUUAUGACCUGGGCUACACACGUGCUACAAUGGUUGGUACAACGAGUUGCGAGUCGGUGACGGCGAGCUAAUCUCUUAAAGCCAAUCUCAGUUCGGAUUGUAGGCUGCAACUCGCCUACAUGAAGUCGGAAUCGCUAGUAAUCGCGGAUCAGCACGCCGCGGUGAAUACGUUCCCGGGCCUUGUACACACCGCCCGUCACACCACGAGAGUUUGUAACACCCGAAGUCGGUGAGGUAACCUUUUGGAGCCAGCCGCCUAAGGUGGGACAGAUGAUUGGGGUGAAGUCGUAACAAGGUAGCCGUAUCGGAAGGUGCGGCUGGAUCACCU
rnacentral:rRNA from 1 species